UACGUAGGGUGCAAGCGUUAAUCGGAAUUACUGGGCGUAAAGCGUGCGCAGGCGGUUAUGUAAGACAGGUGUGAAAUCCCCGGGCUUAACCUGGGAACUGCAUUUGUGACUGCAUAGCUAGAGUACGGUAGAGGGGGGAUGGAAUUCCGCGUGUAGCAGUGAAAUGCGUAGAUAUCAGGAGGAAUACCGAUGGCGAAGGCAGGUCUCUGGGCUAUAACUGACGCUCAUGCACGAAAGCGUGGGGAGCAAACAGG
rnacentral:rRNA from 1 species